rnacentral:rRNA from 1 species
CCAUCCUUUAAAGAAAGCGUAAUAGCUCACUGGUCUAGUGAUUUUGCGCGGAAAAUAUAACGGGGCUAAAGUAAGCACCGAAGCUAUAGACUUAGUUUUACUAAGUGGUAGGAGAGCGUUCUAUUUGCGUCGAAGGUAUACCGGUAAGGAGUGCUGGAGCGAAUAGAAGUGAGCAUGCAGGCAUGAGUAGCGAUAAUUAAUGUGAGAAUCAUUAACGCCGUAAACCCAAGGUUUCCUACGCGAUGCUCGUCAUCGUAGGGUUAGUCGGGUCCUAAGUCGAGUCCGAAAGGGGUAGACGAUGGCAAAUUGGUUAAUAUUCCAAUACCAACAUUAGUGUGCGAUGGAAGGACGCUUAGGGCUAAGCAAGCUAGCGGAUGGAAGUGCUAGUCUAAGGAUGUAGGAGCUUAUACAGGCAAAUCCGUAUAAGAAUACUCCGAGAUCUUAAAGGCUCUUUGAAGUCUUCGGAUGGAUAGGAGAAUUGCUGAUGCCGUCGAGCCAAGAAAAGUUUCUAAGUUUAGCUAAUGUUGCCCGUACCGUAAACCGACACAGGUGGGUGGGAUGAGUAUUCUAAGGCGCGUGGAAGAACUCUCUUUAAGGAACUCUGCAAAAUAGCACCGUAUCUUCGGUAUAAGGUGUGGUUCGCUUUGUAUUAGAAUUUACUUCGAAAGCAAAGAAACUUACAACAAAGAGUCCCUCCCGACUGUUUACCAAAAACACAGCACUCUGCUAACUCGUAAGAGGAUGUAUAGGGUGUGACGCCUGCCCGGUGCUCGAAGGUUAAUUGAUGGGGUUAGCAUUAGCGAAGCUCUUGAUCGAAGCCCGAGUAAACGGCGGCCGUA